CAAAAUGCGAUACUUGGUGUGAAUUGCAGAAUCCCGUGAACCAUCGAGUUUUUGAACGCAAGUUGCGCCCGAAGCCACUCGGCCGAGGGCACGUCUGCCUGGGCGUCACGC
rnacentral:rRNA from 2 species